CCUACGGGGGACAGCAGUGAGGAAUAUUGGUCAAUGGACGAGAGCCUGACCCAGCAAUGCCGCGUGAAUGAAGACGGUUUUCGGAUUGUAAACUUCUAUCAACAGGGACGAAAAAAAUGACGGUACCUGAAGAAUAAGCCACGGCAAACUACGUGCCAGCAGCCGCGGUAAUACAUAGGGGGCAAGCGUUGUCCGGAAUGACUGGGCGUAAAGGGAGAGUAGGCGGUCUGUUAAGCUAUAAGUGAAAGCCCUGGGCUUAACCCUGGAAUUGCUUUUAAGACUUACGAGCUUGAGUGUAGGAGAGGUAAGCGGAAUUCCUAGUGUAGCGGUGAAAUGCGUAGAUAUUAGGAAGAACACCAGUGGCGAAGGCGGCUUUCUGGACUAUCACUGACGCUGAGGCUCGAAAGCGUGGGUAGCAAACAGGAGUAGAUACCCGUGUAGUC
rnacentral:rRNA from 1 species